rnacentral:rRNA from 1 species
CUCCUACGGGAGGCAGCAGUCGGGAAUUUUGCGCAAUGGACGAAAGUCUGACGCAGCAACGCCGCGUGAGGGAUGAAGGCCUUCGGGUUGUAAACCUCUUUUAUCAGGGAAGAUAAUGACGGUACCUGAUGAAUAAGUCACGGCUAACUACGUGCCAGCAGCCGCGGUAAUACGUAGGUGACAAGCGUUGUCCGGAUUUACUGGGCGUAAAGAGCGCGCAGGCGGUCGUUCAAGUCGAGUGUGAAAGCCCCCGGCUCAACUGGGGAGGGUCAUUCGAUACUGAUCGACUCGAAGGCAGGAGAGGGAAGUGGAAUUCCCGGUGUAGUGGUGAAAUGCGUAGAUAUCGGGAGGAACACCAGUGGCGAAGGCGACUUCCUGGCCUGUUCUUGACGCUGAGGCGCGAAAGCUAGGGGAGCAAACGGGAUUAGAUACCCCGGUAGUCCUAGCCGUAAACGAUGGACACUAGGUGUUGGUGGUAUCAACCCCGCCAGUGCCGAAGCUAACGCAUUAAGUGUCCCGCCUGGGGAGUACGGCCGCAAGGCUAAAACUCAAAGGAAUUGACGGGGGCCCGCACAAGCAGCGGAGCGUGGGGUUUAAUUCGACGCAACGCGAAGAACCUUACCAGGGCUUGACAUGACCAGGAUCCCGGCGGAAACGUCGGUUCCCCGCAAGGGGCCUGGCCACAGGUGUUGCAUGGCUGUCGUCAGCUCGUGUCGUGAGAUGUUGGGUUAAGUCCCGCAACGAGCGCAACCCCUACUGUGUGUUGUAUCACUCACACGGGACUGCCGAGAGAAACUCGGAGGAAGGUGGGGAUGACGUCAAGUCAGCAUGGCCCUUACGUCCUGGGCUACACCCACGCUACAAUGGCCGGUACAACGGGCGGCGAAACCGCGAGGUGGAGCGAAUCCCUUAAAGCCGGUCUCAGUUCGGAUUGUAGGCUGCAACUCGCCUACAUGAAGCCGGAGUUGCUAGUAACCGCCGGUCAGCAUACGGCGGUGAAUAUGUUCCCGGGCCUUGUACACACCGCCCGUCACGUCAUGAAAGCUGGCAACACCCGAAGCCGGUGGGCCAACCGCAAGGAGGCAGCCGUCGAAGGUGGGGUUGGUGAUUGGGACGAAGUCGUAACAAGGUA